AAACCAUAAUGAAGGCAACGCCGAAGCAAAUCCUUGUAUCUUUCCCAAGCCUCAUACAACGAUUCAGAGUCAAGUUGCAUGAAAGAAGUAAUAUCAUUCCUCCUCUU
rnacentral:snoRNA from 1 species